GCAAAGUUUUGAUGAAAGUAUAAACAAAACUUUACUGGGAAUACAAUUAUCAAGCACACAAAAAAACAAAUACUUUAAAAACACACACUGCUAUAAACAAUACAUUCAGGUAAGAAAUCUACUUAGCUCUAUUCAUGGGGAUUCAGCAGCUUACACAGGAUAAUUGAAUCAGCAUAACACACAGAACAAUGAGGUGAGUUCCUUGCCACAUGUUAAAUGGAUUUACAUGGGCACCUCUAAAGACACCUGGCUUCUUCCGACCCAGUGAUGAAACUGAAACUCUAGUUUCUGGAAACCCCUUGAAUAACCUCCCAUCUGGUAUCCACCCACAGAGGUAACAUAACCAAUACCUAAUGGUCAUCUCUAGGAGGCGGAUACUACAUGUGGUCCUUUGUGAAAGGAAGUGACUUAAGAAUUCUCAAUACCUUCCUAAAGCACAUGUCUCAUUGACUAUGCGGCAGCCAUCUUUAUUCACUCGACGUCACAGUGCUCACUAGGCCACCUAUAGGUCACUUCCUCCCUAAAGCACAUGUCUCAUUAAAUAUGCAGCAGCCAUCUUCUUGCUCUUAAUGUCACAUAGCUCACUACACCCCCUAUAGGUAUCAUAAGUUAUUGCACAUGAAUGGGAACACAAUAAUAGAACAUUUAUCAUUGCCCAUAACCAAUACAAUCCACCUGUUGAUCCCAUUACAUGAGUAAUAACUAUAACUCAUAUAUUUCUCGGAUAGGUCUUUCUUCAUAGCUUGCUUUCCCACACAUAUAAUACAAUUUACAAAAAAAUACAAUAUUAUGCAUAAAACAACACCCACUACUACCCAUUGCAUUACUUUAAACCCUAAAUUACCCAACCACCCAAAAGGUCCACUAUCCGGUGGAUUCUGGAGCUUCUUCCUGGUAUCAUUUAUCUUUGAAAUAUCAUGUGUUAUUGCGCCAGAGUUAUUGACAAUAUAUGAGCAGCACUCUGUCCCUACCAACGCACAAACGCCUCCUUUGGCGGCCAAGACAUAAUCUAAUGCCAGUCUAUUUUGCAACACCACUGCUCUCAUUUGUACCUGCUCUUGGGAUAGUUUGUUAAUAGCAUCCACGGUUGCAUCUAAAGCUUCAUCCACUAGCUUUUUUAAAGCUUCUAUUCGAGUUAAUGACCAAUAUACUCCCCAGCCGGGAAAUACAAUUCCAGAAUUAGCUUCAUGUUCUCCGAUAAAUGAACUCCACCGUUUAUUUCUAAUCAUGCCUUCUGGAAAGCUAUUUCUAUGCCUUAUGGCGGGGAUGAUUGAUCCAAUGUAACAUUCUCCUUCCCAUUGAGUAGGUAACCAUCUAUAGGCCCAAUUACCACACAGAAA